rnacentral:rRNA from 1 species
UCGAGCGAACUGAUUAGAAGCUUGCUUCUAUGACGUUAGCGGCGGACGGGUGAGUAACACGUGGGCAACCUGCCUGUAAGACUGGGAUAACUUCGGGAAACCGAAGCUAAUACCGGAUAACAUCAUUCCUUGCAUAAGGAAUGAUUGAAAGAUGGUUUCGGCUAUCACUUACAGAUGGGCCCGCGGUGCAUUAGCUAGUUGGUGAGGUAACGGCUCACCAAGGCAACGAUGCAUAGCCGACCUGAGAGGGUGAUCGGCCACACUGGGACUGAGACACGGCCCAGACUCCUACGGGAGGCAGCAGUAGGGAAUCUUCCGCAAUGGACGAAAGUCUGACGGAGCAACGCCGCGUGAGUGAUGAAGGCUUUCGGGUCGUAAAACUCUGUUGUUAGGGAAGAACAAGUAUGAGAGUAACUGCUCGUACCUUGACGGUACCUAACCAGAAAGCCACGGCUAACUACGUGCCAGCAGCCGCGGUAAUACGUAGGUGGCAAGCGUUAUCCGGAAUUAUUGGGCGUAAAGCGCGCGCAGGCGGUUUCUUAAGUCUGAUGUGAAAGCCCACGGCUCAACCGUGGAGGGUCAUUGGAAACUGGGGAACUUGAGUGCAGAAGAGAAAAGCGGAAUUCCACGUGUAGCGGUGAAAUGCGUAGAGAUGUGGAGGAACACCAGUGGCGAAGGCGGC